rnacentral:rRNA from 1 species
GCGGCGUGCCUAAUACAUGCAAGUCGAGCGAACAGACGAGGAGCUUGCUCCUUUGACGUUAGCGGCGGACGGGUGAGUAACACGUGGAUAACCUACCUAUAAGACUGGGAUAACUUCGGGAAACCGGAGCUAAUACCGGAUAACAUGUUGAACCGCAUGGUUCAACAGUGAAAGACGGUCUUGCUGUCACUUAUAGAUGGAUCCGCGCCGCAUUAGCUAGUUGGUAAGGUAACGGCUUACCAAGGCAACGAUGCGUAGCCGACCUGAGAGGGUGAUCGGCCACACUGGAACUGAGACACGGUCCAGACUCCUACGGGAGGCAGCAGUAGGGAAUCUUCCGCAAUGGGCGAAAGCCUGACGGAGCAACGCCGCGUGAGUGAAGAAGGUCUUCGGAUCGUAAAACUCUGUUAUUAGGGAAGAACAAAUGUGUAAGUAACUAUGCACGUCUUGACGGUACCUAAUCAGAAAGCCACGGCUAACUACGUGCCAGCAGCCGCGGUAAUACGUAGGUGGCAAGCGUUAUCCGGAAUUAUUGGGCGUAAAGCGCGCGUAGGCGGUUUUUUAAGUCUGAUGUGAAAGCCCACGGCUCAACCGUGGAGGGUCAUUGGAAACUGGAAAACUUGAGUGCAGAAGAGGAAAGUGGAAUUCCAUGUGUAGCGGUGAAAUGCGCAGAGAUAUGGAGGAACACCAGUGGCGAAGGCGACUUUCUGGUCUGUAACUGACGCUGAUGUGCGAAAGCGUGGGGAUCAAACAGGAUUAGAUACCCUGGUAGUCCACGCCGUAAACGAUGAGUGCUAAGUGUUAGGGGGUUUCCGCCCCUUAGUGCUGCAGCUAACGCAUUAAGCACUCCGCCUGGGGAGUACGACCGCAAGGUUGAAACUCAAAGGAAUUGACGGGGACCCGCACAAGCGGUGGAGCAUGUGGUUUAAUUCGAAGCAACGCGAAGAACCUUACCAAAUCUUGACAUCCUCUGACCCCUCUAGAGAUAGAGUUUUCCCCUUCGGGGGACAGAGUGACAGGUGGUGCAUGGUUGUCGUCAGCUCGUGUCGUGAGAUGUUGGGUUAAGUCCCGCAACGAGCGCAACCCUUAAGCUUAGUUGCCAUCAUUAAGUUGGGCACUCUAAGUUGACUGCCGGUGACAAACCGGAGGAAGGUGGGGAUGACGUCAAAUCAUCAUGCCCCUUAUGAUUUGGGCUACACACGUGCUACAAUGGACAAUACAAAGGGUAGCGAAACCGCGAGGUCAAGCAAAUCCCAUAAAGUUGUUCUCAGUUCGGAUUGUAGUCUGCAACUCGACUACAUGAAGCUGGAAUCGCUAGUAAUCGUAGAUCAGCAUGCUACGGUGAAUACGUUCCCGGGUCUUGUACACACCGCCCGUCACACCACGAGAGUUUGUAACACCCGAAGCCGGUGGAGUAACCUUUUGGAGCUAGCCGUCGAAGGUGGGACAAAUGAUUGGGGUGAAGUCG